UCCCGCACAAGCGGUGGAGCAUGUGGUUUNAUUCGAAGCAANGUGCAGAACCUNACCAGCCNUUGACAUGCCUCGGACGGUUACCAGANNUGGUNUCUUUUAUUAGGANCCGGGGACACAGGUGCUGCAUGGCUGUCGUCAGNUCGNNUCGUGAGAUGUUGGNUUAAGUCCCGCAACGAGCGCAACCCUCGCCCNUAGUUGCCAUCAUUUAGUUGGGCANUCUAGGGGGACUGCNGGUGAUAAGCNGNGAGGAAGGUGGGGAUGACGUCAAGUCGNUCAUGGCCCUUACGGUGCUGGGCUACAUCAUCGUGUCUAUCAAUGGACGGUGACAAUGGGACGCAAAGGGGUGACCCACUAGCAAAUCUCACAAAANCCGUCUCAGUUCAGAUUUGUAUCUCUGCAAACUCGAGUAGCAUGAAUGGUGGAAUCGNCUAGUAAUCGUAGAUCAGAAC
rnacentral:rRNA from 1 species